UUGCUUCAGCUUCAUAUAUACUAAAAUGGAAUGAUACAGAAAAGAUUAGCAUGGCCCCUGCACAAGGAUGAUAUGCAAAUUCAUGAAGCAUUCCAUAAUUUU